rnacentral:rRNA from 1 species
AUUGAACGCUGGCGGAAUGCUUUACACAUGCAAGUCGAGCGGCAGCGCGGGGGCAACCCUGGCGGCGAGCGGCGAACGGGUGAGUAACAUAUCGGAACGUACCCCGUCGUGGGGGAUAACACAGCGAAAGCUGUGCUAAUACCGCAUACGACCUGAGGGUGAAAGCGGGGGACCGCAAGGCCUCGCGCGAUGGGAGCGGCCGAUAUCGGAUUAGCUUGUUGGUGAGGCAAAGGCUCACCAAGGCGACGAUCCGUAGCUGGUCUGAGAGGACGACCAGCCAGACUGGAACUGGGACACGGUCCAGACUCCUACGGGAGGCAGCAGUGGGGAAUUUUGGACAAUGGGGGCAACCCUGAUCCAGUCAUUCCGCGUGAGUGAAGAAGGCCUUCGGGUUGUAAAGCUCUUUCGGCAGGAACGAAACGGCGCGCUCUAACAUAGCGUGUCAAUGACGGUACCUGAAGAAGAAGCACCGGCUAACUACGUGCCAGCCGCCGCCGUAA